GACGAACGCUGGCGGCGUGCUUAACACAUGCAAGUCGAACGGAAAGGCCCUGCUUUUGUGGGGUGCUCGAGUGGCGAACGGGUGAGUAACACGUGAGUAACCUGCCCUUGACUUUGGGAUAACUUCAGGAAACUGGGGCUAAUACCGGAUAGGAGCUCCUGCUGCAUGGUGGGGGUUGGAAAGUUUCGGCGGUUGGGGAAGGACUCGCGGCUUAUCAGCUUGUUGGUGGGGUAGUGGCUUACCAAGGCUUUGACGGGUAGCCGGCCUGAGAGGGUGACCGGCCACAUUGGGACUGAGAUACGGCCCAGACUCCUACGGGAGGCAGCAGUGGGGAAUAUUGCACAAUGGGCGGAAGCCUGAUGCAGCAACGCCGCGCGCGGGAUGACGGCCUUCGGGUUGUAAACCGCUUUCGCCUGUGACGAAGCGUGAGUGACGGUAAUGGGUAAAGAAGCACCGGCUAACUACGUG
rnacentral:rRNA from 1 species